CGAAGUCGGACGAGACUCGAGCUCCGGGCUGCUGGUUGACGACAUGUUCUGCUACUUCGUCCUGAAUGAAGAGGGAAAACAGAAGAAACAUAGAGAUGGACAUUUGAGUUAUUACUGCAUUACUAAAUCCUAAAAGGAGACAAGACUGGUGUGGUGGAGGUGGGGCUGCCAGCUGUUCCUCAACUGCCCAGCUACAUAUAUCUGGUUCCCGGUUCUAUUCACCACCAGAUUGUAGACUCUGUUAUACACGUCUCCACCCUGCUUUGUGUGAACCCCUGCUCCUCUCUGCAAAACCCUAGCCAGCCACAUUCAGCUCCAGCUCUGCCUUCCUCCUCCAGUCGCCUACCUCAGCCUGUGUCCCUGUCUUCUGGCCGUCUACUCAGUCCAUUGUCAAUAAAAACCCUUUUGAUUCAUACUUGUCUCUUGUCUUUUGAGUGCAGCAUUUGGGUUGGCCUGACUAGCUUAACAAAUGAGUCAUAAAACGUCAUAGUAUAGUAAGGU